rnacentral:lncRNA from 1 species
CAACAACAACAAUUUCCAGGGCAGCAACAAACAUUUCCACCACAACAGCCAUAUCCGCAGCCGCAACCAUUUCCAGCACAACAACCAUAUCCGCAGCCGCAACUAUUUCCACAGCCGCAACCUUUUCCGCCACAACUUCCAUAUCCGCAGCCGCAACCAUUUCCCCCACAACAACCAUAUCCACAACCGCAAACACAGCAUCUGCAACCACAACAACCAAUUUCGCAGCAACAAGCACAACAACAACAACAACAACAACAACAACAACAAAUCCUUCAACAAAUUCUGCAACAACAACAACUGAUUCCAUGCAGGGAUGUCAUCGUCUUGCAACAACACAACAUAGCGCAUGAAAGCUCACAAGUAUUGCAGCAAAGUAGUUACCAAGUGUUGCAACAAUUAUGUUGUCAGCAGCUGCGGCAGAUCCCCGAGCAGUCGCGGUGCCAAGC